rnacentral:rRNA from 1 species
CCAGACUCCUACGGGAGGCAGCAGUGGGGAAUAUUGCACAAUGGGCGCAAGCCUGAUGCAGCCAUGCCGCGUGUAUGAAGAAGGCCUUCGGGUUGUAAAGUACUUUCAGUCGGGAGGAAGGUGGUAAGGUUAAUAACCUUAUCAAUUGACGUUACCGACAGAAGAAGCACCGGCUAACUCCGUGCCAGCAGCCGCGGUAAUACGGAGGGUGCAAGCGUUAAUCGGAAUUACUGGGCGUAAAGCGCACGCAGGCGGUCGGUCAAGUCGGAUGUGGAAUCCCCGGGCGCAACCUGGGAACUGCAUUCGAAACUGGCAGGCUGGAGUCUUGUAGAGGGGGGUAGAAUUCCAGGUGUAGCGGUGAAAUGCGUAGAGAUCUGGAGGAAUACCGGUGGCGAAGGCGGCCCCCUGGACAAAGACUGACGCUCAGGUGCGAAAGCGUGGGGAGCAAACAGGAUUAGAUACCCGCGUACAC